GACGAACGCUGGCGGCGUGCUUAACACAUGCAAGUCGAACGAGGUCCACCGCGUAGCAAUACAAGGGAAGACCUAGUGGCGAACGGGUGCGUAACACGUGAGGAACUUGUCCCGGUCUCUGGGAUAACAGUUGGAAACGACUGCUAAUACCGGAUGACGUCGGAAUCUCGCAUGGGAUACUGACGAAAGGGUUACUGGAUCGGGAGAGCCUCGCGGCCUAUCAGCUUGUUGGUGAGGUAACGGCUCACCAAGGCAUCGACGGGUAGCUGGUCUGAGAGGAUGAUCAGCCACACUGGGACUGAGACACGGCCCAGACUCCUACGGGAGGCAGCAGUGGGGAAUCUUGCGCAAUGGGCGAAAGCCUGACGCAGCAACGCCGCGUGCGGGAAGAAGGCCCUCGGGUUGUAAACCGCUUUCAGAAGGAACGAAAAUAGACGGUAACUUUCUAGAAGAAGGUAGG
rnacentral:rRNA from 1 species